UAGAGAUAGCUUAGUUGCCUUCGGGAACUCUGAGACAGGUGCUGCAUGGCUGUCGUCAGCUCGUGUUGUGAAAUGUUGGGUUAAGUCCCGCAACGAGCGCAACCCUUAUCCUUUGUUGCCAGCGAGUAAUGUCGGGAACUCAAAGGAGACUGCCGGUGAUAAACGGAGGAGUGGGGAUGACGUCAAGUCAUCAUGGCCCUUACGAGUAGGGCUACACACGUGCUACAAUGGCAUAUACAAAGAGAAGCGAACUCGCGAGAGCAAGCGGACCUCAUAAAGUAUGUCGUAGUCCGGAUUGGAGUCUGCAACUCGACUCCAUGAAGCUGGAAUCGCUAGUAAUCGCGGAUCAGCCAUGCCGCGGUGAAUACGUUCCCGGGUCUU
rnacentral:rRNA from 1 species